rnacentral:tRNA from 1 species
GGUUCCGUGGUAGUGGUUUUCACGUUCGCUUCACACGCGAAGGUCUUCGGUUCGAUCCCGGACGGAACCA